rnacentral:rRNA from 1 species
ACGGCUCAGUAACACGUCGGUAACCUGCCCUUGGGUCGGGGAUAAGCUCGGGAAACUGAGUCUAAAACCCGAUAGGGGAUUGAUCCUGGAAUGGACUUUCCCUCAAACUCGCGCCCAAGGAUGGGCCGGCGGUCGAUUAGGCUGUUGGUGGGGUAAAGGCCCACCAAACCGAAAAUCGGUACGGGCCAUGAGAGUGGUAGCCCGGAGAGGGACCCUGAGACACUGGUCCCAGCCCUACGGGGUGCAGCAGGCGCGAAACCUCUACAAUGCGCGAAAGCGUGAUAGGGGGAUUCCCAGUGCUCAUGCAUUGCAUGGGCUUUUGCCAUUGGCAAAAACAAUGGCGAACAAGUGGUGGGUAAGACCGGUGCCAGCCGCCGCGGUAACACCGGCGCCACAAGUGGGGAUCGCGAUUAUUGGGCCUAAAGCGUCCGUAGCCGGCCCUGUAAAUCCUUUGUGAAAUCGUUGGGCUUAACUUAACGGUGUGCAGAGGACACUGCAGGGCUCGAGACCGGGAGGGGUUGGAGGUAUUCCGUGGGGAGCGGUAAAAUGCUAUAAUCCACGGAGGACCACCGAUGGCGAAGGCAUCCAACCAGAACGGGUCUGACGGUGAGGGACGAAAGCUAGGGGAGCGAACCGGAUUAGAUACCCGAGUAGUCCUAGCUGUAAACGCUGCGAGCUAGGUGUUGCGCAAUCUACGGGAUUGCGCAGUGUCGAAAUGAAGAUGAUAAGCUCGCCGCCUGGGAAGUACGGUCGCAAGGCUGAAACUUUAAGGAAUUGGCGGGGGAGCAC